UAAUACGUAGGAGGCGAACGUUAUCCGAAUUUACUGGGCGUAAAGAGAGCGUAGGUGGUUCCUUAAGUCAGAUGUGAAAUCUCCUGGCUCAACCAGGAGAGGUCAUUUGAUACUGUGGAGCUUGAGGGCAGCAGAAGGAAAUGGAAUUCCCAGUGUAGCGGUGAAAUGCGUUGAUAUUGGGAAGAACACCAGUGGCGAAGGCGGUUUCCUAGGUUGUUCCUGACACUGAGGCUCGAAAGCAUGGGGAGCGAAGCGGAUUAGAUACCCGCGUAGUCCAUGCCUUAAACGGUGGACACUAGAUAUGGGAAGUAUCGACCCUUUCUGUGUCGAAGUUAACACUUUAAGUGUCCCGCCUGGGGAGUACGGCCGCAAGGCUA
rnacentral:rRNA from 1 species